rnacentral:rRNA from 1 species
AACGUAGGACACGAGCGUUAUCCGGAGUUACUGGGCGUAAAGGGCGGGUAGGUGGUGCGAUAAGACUGGUGUGAAAGCCUUCGGCUUAACCGAGGGAGGACACUGGUGACUGUCGGACUUGAGGCAGAUAGAGGGGUGUAGAAUUCCGGGUGUAGUGGUGAAAUGCGUAGAGAUCCGGAGGAAUACCAGAGGCGAAGGCGGCACCCUGGGUUAACACUGACGCUCAGGCACGAAAGCGUGGGGAGCAAACAGG